rnacentral:rRNA from 7 species
CGGAGCUUGCUCCACCGGAAAAAGAAGAGUGGCGAACGGGUGAGUAACACGUGGGUAACCUGCCCAUCAGAAGGGGAUAACACUUGGAAACAGGUGCUAAUACCGUAUAACAAUCGAAACCGCAUGGUUUUGAUUUGAAAGGCGCUUUCGGGUGUCGCUGAUGGAUGGACCCGCGGUGCAUUAGCUAGUUGGUGAGGUAACGGCUCACCAAGGCCACGAUGCAUAGCCGACCUGAGAGGGUGAUCGGCCACAUUGGGACUGAGACACGGCCCAAACUCCUACGGGAGGCAGCAGUAGGGAAUCUUCGGCAAUGGACGAAAGUCUGACCGAGCAACGCCGCGUGAGUGAAGAAGGUUUUCGGAUCGUAAAACUCUGUUGUUAGAGAAGAACAAGGAUGAGAGUAACUGUUCAUCCCUUGACGGUAUCUAACCAGAAAGCCACGGCUAACUACGUGCCAGCAGCCGCGGUAAUACGUAGGUGGCAAGCGUUGUCCGGAUUUAUUGGGCGUAAAGCGAGCGCAGGCGGUUUCUUAAGUCUGAUGUGAAAGCCCCCGGCUCAACCGGGGAGGGUCAUUGGAAACUGGGAGACUUGAGUGCAGAAGAGGAGAGUGGAAUUCCAUGUGUAGCGGUGAAAUGCGUAGAUAUAUGGAGGAACACCAGUGGCGAA